AGCAAUAGCACUCAGAAAGUUAUUGUCACACUAUAUAACAUAUGGUUAUUUAGACCCAAAAGACACAGUAGCCUGGGAACCUUGAAAUCUCCUCUAAGGAAAAGAAGGACAGUGAAGCAUGGAAUAAAGUGGAAAUGUUGAACAAUGUGAUCAAGAGUUGAGAAGCAGCUGGUUGGAGAGAAAGAGAUGAGAGCUCUGAUGAUAUUAUGGGCAGGAUAAUUGAAGACAGCCAUGCCUACACCUCAUUCUAUACUGAGAGUCUGUUAUUAUUUUUUAAACUCAGGACUUUAGGGUGGAAGAUGCUUUAAAAAUUAUCUAUCUAGUCCAACCCACCAUUUUACAAGUGAAGAAACUGAAUCCCAGUGGCUUUUCCAAGAAGACAAAAAGUUUUUCUUUUUAAACACCAUGGAGCAACCCUGCUAUUUGGAACCAUUACCGAUUUUUGUUAUGUAAUCCUAACAUGGCUGUUGCAGUUA